rnacentral:rRNA from 1 species
UACGUAGGGUGCAGGCGUUAAUCGGAAUUACUGGGCGUAAAGCGUGCGCAGGCGGUUAUGUAAGACAGAUGUGAAAUGCCCGGGCUUAACCUGGGAACUGCAUUUGUGACUGCAUGGCUAGAGUUUGGCAGAGGGGGGUAGAAUUCCACGUGUAGCAGUGAAAUGCGUAGAUAUGUGGAGGAACACCGAUGGCGAAGGCAGCCCCCUGGGUCAAGACUGACGCUCAUGCACGAAAGGCGUGGGGAGCAAACAGGA